AGUAAAAUAUGAAGAGGCGGAGAAACUCGCACAAGAAAAUAACAUUAUGUUCAUUGAAACUAGUGCAAAAAAUGGAUACAACAUCAAGUCUCUGUUUAAAAAGCUCGCUUCAACACUUCCUAAUUUAGACUACAUUCAGGAAGGAAAGAAUGAAGCAAACAGUUCCAGUAGCUUAGAAAACAAUAAUGCCAAUAAAAUCGUUGAUUUACAAUCUGGGGAAGAAAACAGUCGCUUUAACUAUAAAAAAUGUUCGUGUUAAAGCAAUUUUAACUACUCAAAUUAUUUAAUCAAAAUAUUAUAUUCUACUAGUUUUGUUAUAAAUUUCAUUUUCUUUUAUUUAACUUUUAGUCGGAUUAAUCAUUUGUUUAAGAUAGCGCCAAUUAAAGUACGACGUGUAAUUAUUACUAUUUGUGCCAUUAAAGUCGAUGCACUUUGAAAUAAACUGAUUAGAUAAUUACUAUUGUGUUUCUGAAAUAUGUAAAGAUAUGGACAGAAAUGGUUGGAGUGAAUAUUUGAAGAAGCAAAGACUUCAGGACUUAAAAUCCUUAGCAAAACAACUUGGUAUUUACAUUAAAUCCAAUACAAAAAAAAGUGAUUGUAUCGACAUCAUUCUGAAUAAUUCCCCUGACACUCCUCUAAGUUCCAAUAAUCUUGAUUUUAUACUUAAAGAAAAAAUAUCAAAUGAUCAACACAAUUUUCCUUCUGAAACAUCAAUUUUGUCCAAUAUUAGUGAGUCAACUAAUUUAAAUAACAUUAAAAUAAGUGAGUAUUUUCAUACUGCUUCGGAUACUAUUUGCGAUUCAUCUUGUUCCAUGUGCCAAAAAAACCUUUCCGAUAGUAUAGUUAACUGCGAUGCUUGUUACAGACCAUUUCACUCUCGCUGUGUAGGUUUUGAUAUCAAAAGAGCUGAAUUCAAUAAUAAUCAUAUGAUGGUUUUCAUGGAAAGUAUAUCAAAAAAAGAUGGCAAAAAAUCCAAGGCUAAUUUAAUUAAUUUUAUUUGCCCGUUUUGUAGAUUCUUUGUAAUCGACCCAUAUAACAAAAUAAUCAAGCCACUUUUUUUUACGACUUUUUAUUCUUACACAGCAAUUCACAAUAUACAUCCAAAGUAUGGAAACAUUAACUUUAAUAACUCAAGCCAUCUUCCUCACUUUACAUCUAAGUAUUCUUUCUCUCCAAAUCUAUUUUUGAAUAAUGAUUUAGAAUCUAAUGACCCGGAUGCUUUCAAUAUUAUGGUUUAUUGUCUAAGACUUGAUAGAAUGGAUCUUAAUCAUGAGUUCCCAAGAGUCCUAUUUAUUAAAGCUAAUGGAAAGGUUAUUCAAAACAUUGAAUCUCCGAGCUACGAUCAUAUUAGAAGAGAUUGUCCAUUAUAUUUGAAGGAUUAUUUAGUUAAUAAUCAAUUGAUGACAAAGCAAAAUGUCAAUAUUACGUUUAGCACAUUAAAUGCACUACUUAAAGACUCAGAAAAUGGUGAGUUGUUGCCUAUUCCUACGGCACCGUAUAUAAUUGGCUUGUUUUUAACCAAAACAAUAAGUUGCGAUAAUAUUUUGGAUACUAUACUUUCUGAAGGCACAUUAUCCAUUGAAAUUUCAAAAGCUCACUUCAAAAAUAUUUUAGAAAAUAAGAUCCAAUCAUCUAUAUAUAACCAAUUAUAUGAUGACUCAUCAGAUGAGAUAAUCUGCUUGAAUAAAGACCAGUAUUUAAAUACCUUAUGCCCUUUAACUAUGGAUACCAUUGAACUUCCUGGACGUGGCAUAUUUU
rnacentral:rRNA from 1 species